rnacentral:rRNA from 1 species
AGAACGAACGCUGGCGGCAGGCUUAACACAUGCAAGUCGAGCGCCCCGCAAGGGGAGCGGCAGACGGGUGAGUAACGCGUGGGAACAUACCCUCCGGUUCGGAAUAGCUCAGGGAAACUUGGAUUAAUACCGGAUACGGCCUAGCGGCGAAAGAUUCAUCGCCGGAGGAUUGGCCCGCGUUCGAUUAGCUAGUUGGUGAGGUAACGGCUCACCAAGGCGACGAUCGAUAGCUGGUCUGAGAGGAUGAUCAGCCACAUUGGGACUGAGACACGGCCCAAACUCCUACGGGAGGCAGCAGUGGGGAAUAUUGAACAAUGGGCGCAAGCCUGAUCCAGCCAUGCCGCGUGAGUGAUGACGGCCUUAGGGUUGUAAAGCUCUUUCGCUAGGGACGAUAAUGACGGUACCUAGACAAGAAGCCCGGCUAACUUCGUGCCAGCAGCCGC